rnacentral:rRNA from 1 species
GACGAACGCUGGCGGCGUGCUUAACACAUGCAAGUCGAACGGUAAGGCCUUCGGGUACACGAGUGGCGAACGGGUGAGUAACACGUGGGUGAUCUGCCCCCUACUCUGGGAUAAGCCUGGGAAACUGGGUCUAAUACCGGAUAUGACCUCCUUCUGCAUGGUUGGUGGUGGAAAGUUUUUUCGGUAGGGGAUGAGCCCGCGGCCUAUCAGCUUGUUGGUGGGGUAAUGGCCUACCAAGGCGACGACGGGUAGCCGGCCUGAGAGGGCGACCGGCCACACUGGGACUGAGACACGGCACAGACUCCUACGGGAGGCAGCAGUGGGGAACAUUGCACAAUGGGCGAAAGCCUGAUGCAGCGACGCCGCGUGGGGGAUGACGGCCUUCGGGUUGUAAACCCCUUUCAGUCGGGACGAAGCGAGAGUGACGGUACCGAUAGAAGAAGCACCGGCCAACUACGUGCCAGCCGCCGCCGUAAGAC